rnacentral:rRNA from 1 species
AUUGAACGCUGGCGGCAGGCCUAACACAUGCAAGUCGAACGGUAGCAGGAAGCAGCUUGCUGCUUCGCUGACGAGUGGCGGACGGGUGAGUAAUGUCUGGGAAGCUGCCUGAUGGAGGGGGAUAACUACUGGAAACGGUAGCUAAUACCGCAUAAUGUCGCAAGACCAAAGAGGGGGACCUUCGGGCCUCUUGCCAUCGGAUGUGCCCAGAUGGGAUUAGCUUGUUGGUGGGGUAACGGCUCACCAAUGCGACGAUCCCUAGCUGGUCUGAGAGGAUGACCAGCCACACUGGAACUGAGACACGGUCCAGACUCCUACGGGAGGCAGCAGUGGGGAAUAUUGCACAAUGGGCGCAAGCCUGAUGCAGCCAUGCCGCGUGUAUGAAGAAGGCCUUCGGGU